AACUUUUAGCAACGGAUCUCUUGGCUCUCGCAUCGAUGAAGAACGCAGCGAAAUGCGAUAAGUAAUGUGAAUUGCAGAAUUCAGUGAAUCAUCGAAUCUUUGAACGCACCUUGCGCUCCUUGGUAUUCCGAGGAGCAUGCCUGUUUGAGUGUCA
rfam:Trametes versicolor FP-101664 SS1 unplaced genomic scaffold TRAVEscaffold_9, whole genome shotgun sequence.